rnacentral:rRNA from 1 species
AUACCAGCACCCCGAGUGGUCGGGACGAUUAUUGGGCCUAAAGCAUCCGUAGCCGGUCCUGCAAGUCCUCCGUUAAAUCCACCCGCUCAACGGUUGGGCCGCGGGGGAUACUACAGGGCCAGGAGGCGGGAGAGGAAAGCGGUACUCGAUGGGUAGGGGUAAAAUCCACUGAUCCAUUGAAGCCCACCAGUGGCGAAGGCGGCUUGCCAGAACGCGCUCGACGGUGAGGGAUGAAAGCUGGGGGAGCAAACCGGAUUAGAUACCCGGGUAGUCCCAGCUGUAAACGAUGCAGACUCGGUGAUGGGCUGGCUUCGUGCCAACCCGGUGCCGCAGGGAAGCCGUUAAGUCUACCGCCUGGGGAGUACGGUCGCAAGACUGAAACUUAAAUGAAUUGGCGGGG